UCAAGAAAGUUGUACUGCAGAGCAGGUAGUUUGAAUCUGUGCCACAGGAAGCUUGCCACUGGCCUGAAUCUUCAGGCAUCGCUAUGUGUAUUGCUGUUGUUCACCCAAUAAGCAUCAUUUGCUGCAGUGUGAAAACGUAAUGUAAUCUCUGGAUCAGACAAAGUUAACCAUUCUGUGUGGAGCCCAUGUUCAGUUGAGACCAAGGAAGAAAACUUCCCAGUGAUAAAUUAUAACAGAAGACAAUAACCAUUUUAAAUUGUGUACAGCUGUAUAAAAUAAACACAAACUAAUGUAACAUAUACAAACCAUAUAAUACAAUACUGCUGCUAUGAAAUUAACUUACAGAAUUUUUGCUUUUUCUAGUGUUUUGCAGCUUUUAUGAAUACCAUUUAUAAAAAAAGUUACUGUUAACUUAACUGCCAUUUUACUUUCCGGUUUGUAUUUAUACUGUCAUGCAGACUGUGUAAACAGAGCAGCAAUAAUAACGUGUUACUCCGGUUAGCAGAAUCUAGCAUGGCUUUGUAGCAAACCAAGUACUACAUUAAAAUAAAACGGUCUACAGAAAGACUCCAACACA